GAUCAUAGCUCAGGACGAACGCUGGCGGCAUGCCUAACACAUGCAAGUCGAACGGAGAUUACUUCGGUAAUCUUAGUGGCGAACGGGUGAGUAACGCGUGGGUAACCUGCCCUCUAGAUGGGGACAACAUCCCGAAAGGGGUGCUAAUACCGAAUGUGACAGCAAUCUCGCAUGAGGAUGCUGUGAAAGAUGGCCUCUAUUUAUAAGCUAUCGCUAGAGGAUGGGCCUGCGU
rnacentral:rRNA from 1 species